UGGACCUCCACACCCGCCCACCCAGGGCAGGUCCCAGAAGGCUUCUUGAUCUGCCCUACCUCUGAAGUUGCUGGAGAUGGCCAUUUCACAACUGGAACCUACCCCACGCCUCUGGAGGCCCCCCUCCUCCUGCAUGCUUGGCAAGGCAGGGAAGUGUGAGGCAACCACUUCCCACAUAGCCAGGACCACAUAGCCAGAUCCCCCCCCCCCCCCUCCUUGGUAUUGAUGCCGUUGGCCAAAGGGUGAGCUAAGACCUAACAGAGGAACCAUCACAGCCCGGGCCCCAACUGACUUGACCAGACCAGAGCUGAAGACUUGGGACAUGGGACCAGGGAGAAGCAGCAGGGAUGGAGCUUAUCAAAUGAACCGUGUAGCAGAGCCGGUGAGAAGCCAGUCAUCCCUGAUAUACAGUCAAGAGGCAAAUCCAAGUGGAGACGAUGACAAAGUUAAACAAACAGCUCCAUCCCCUGACCACCUCAGAUAUUUUUUAUUUUUUUUAACACGAUGAAUAAAUGUCAUCAAAAUGAUUGCAUUCAAACU